rnacentral:rRNA from 1 species
AUUGAACGCUGGCGGCAGGCCUAACACAUGCAAGUCGAGCGAGCGGCGGACGGGUGAGUAAUGUAUGGGGACUGCCCGAUAGAGGGGGAUAACUACUGGAAACGGUGGCUAAUACCGCAUACUAUCGGAUAACCCAUAUGGGAUUAGCUAGUAGGUGGGGUAAAGGCUCACCUAGGCGACGAUCUCUAGCUGGUCUGAGAGGAUGAUAAGCCACACGGGGACUGAGAAACGGCCCAGGCUCCGACGGAGGCAGCAGUGGGGAAUGUUGCACAAUGGGCGAAAGCCUGAUGCAGCCAGGCCGGGUGAAGGAAGAAGGCCGUAGGGUUGUAAAGUACUUUAAGGGGGGAGACGUUCCCCGCAAAAGAAACCCCGGCUAACACCGUGCCAGCCGCCGCGGUAAUAC